rnacentral:rRNA from 1 species
UACGAAGGGGGCUAGCGUUGCUCGGAAUUACUGGGCGUAAAGGGCGCGUAGGCGGAUAUCUAAGUCGGGGGUGAAAGCCCAGGGCUCAACCCUGGAAUUGCCUUCGAUACUGGAUAUCUUGAGUACGGGAGAGGUGAGUGGAACUCCGAGUGUAGAGGUGAAAUUCGUAGAUAUUCGCAAGAACACCAGUGGCGAAGGCGGCUCACUGGCCCGAUACUGACGCUGAGGCACGAAAGCGUGGGGAGCAAACAGG